rnacentral:lncRNA from 1 species
UUUUUUUUUUUUUUUGCUGCUGAUAUUAGGGAAUGACAUUUAAUAUAGUUUUUUCUGCUGUUAGGUUUAUAAUUUGAAUUCUAAAUCCAAUAAUUGAGAGUAAAAAGGAUGUGAAAAAGGAUGAAAGGGAAAAAAAAAAUACUAUAAUUUUAAACAAAUUUAAAAAAUAAAACCAAUUUUGAACGCUACAGCGAUAGCCUUUAUUAAUUCCAUCUACACUCUUUAUGGAGUUAUGGUUUCUAUUAACCUCGCUUUCACUUGUAUAUAUACCUAUUAAAAUGGAUUAAUGGAAUAAGCCGUCACAAAUGUUUUAUGUUCAUUAAAACUUGCAAAUUGUACCUGGUACUUUCACUAGUUGGGUAAGCUUAUUUUAAAAAACUUGGUACUGCUCUCCCAAGAUUCUUCUGAUUUUCUUGCCUUCCAUUUUUUGUAUGAUUAAAAGAUUUUCGACCGUUUGAUGUCUUCUUGUCUCAUUAGGGUAUAGUAGCACCAUUACAGCCUUUUGGGUACUUCUCCUUUUCCUUGCAACUCACAAGUCAUUUCUUGUUCAUGGUCAAUGUCUUGUCUGUGGCCCGGUGCAAAAAGUUUGUUUUCAAGGUCAAGGCUUUGAGAAUUUUCCAUCACUCUCAGGGGAUAAAGUUCAUUUCUUGCCACAGUUUCAAGGUUAGAAAAGAGGGGAUUUGGGUUUUGAAGGUUGAGCAUUCCUGGGUUCUUUUCUUUAUUCUUUAUUUUCUUUUUGGGCAAGAUAUUUUGGAUUGGGGAUAUAAAGAAAGAAUUUUGAGGAUCAAGCUACGUAUGGUUGCUUUCUGGAGAAAAAAGGCCUGGAUUCUUGUUUUUGAGUCUUGAAGGUUGGUUCUUUGUCUUUUCUUGCUCUCAGCAGGUCUGGUUUUUGGACCGGCAAAACAAGUGAUUUUUCUUUUUCUUUUUUUUUCUUCUUCUUCUUUUUCCUUUAACGAGACUAUAGUUGAUAAUUAGAACUUAUCUGCAUUGAUACUUAGUCAUUGCUUCGGGAUAUUUUUAUCUCUCUGGUUUUUGCUUGCAGAAACAGAAGGGUGGUAAGUGGUGGUGGCUGCUGAUUAAGUUAUUUGGAGUGACUUGAAUGAUAGGCAAAAGAUAAAGCAAUUUGAGGGCAUCCUUUGUCAUUUCUUUCAUAUUUAUUGCACUAUAAUUUUGAAAAUUCUUUGGCUUUGCGGCUGUUGGUCCCUUGUACAAAAUUUCAAUACACUCCAUACAAUGUACAACUGGAGAUGGAGACUCCUGUCUUCUCUUCAAAGCAAAGUCUCUUUCAGUUUCUGUUGUGUAUAUAUUUAUUGUUUAUAUCCAAUUGCCUCAUAUCUUGGUAGAUAACUGUAGAAAUAGAAUUUGGGGCGGAAAAUUGUGGGCCUUUACCUUUUUGCAAAAGAAAUUUCUUUUUAUGGUCAAGAUAUUAGAUCUACUCCAAUUGAGCAGGGGAGCCUAUGGAAAAUUCAUCACUGAUCAACUAUUGUGCAAUCAAUUCCACAGUAGAAAAGUAAAGAUACCAACUUUUAUCUUUCUUUACUAAACUGUCCCCUUGUAUUUUCUCUUUUGCAAUCAAAAUACUUAGCUUGUGAGAAGGGGCAUUUGGUCAUGUUAAAGAUUUAUCUACCGACUGCCAUUAUUGGAUUUUUGUGUGUAAUGGCUGUUGGAAAGUUCAUUCUUUCACUUUCAUCAGCUGUAACUUGUAUCCGUAACAUUAAAUUAUUUGUGCAUUUACUUGGCUAAUAUUUAAUGUGCCUCACUGGUAUUCAAUCAUCAUUUCGUUAGUCUUUUUGGGUAACCUCGUGGGGGCCUUCAUUAGGUACUAAGUAAUUGCCUGUCUGGUCUUGUUUUCAGUAAACGAGUGUUGUGUGAUCAUAUAAGAUUCUCGAAACUACUAAUCUCGACCUCCCUCUCUCUUUCUUUAUUUAUUGUAGCUUUUAUAAUGCCUAAUUUUUUUAAGGAUUGAUGAUUGCAACUGCUCCAAAGCUUUAAAUUUUCUAUGCAAAGGUAUACAAUUUUUAAACAUCUUCCUCAUCUAAACCGCAAAAUUGGAAGGUUUGGCUUCUGUCUAGUUCAUUUCUUUUUUUUUUCUCUGCGACUCUAGUUGAUGGUACUAUUUGGUUUUUCUGAAAGAUUGAAUCUUUUAUCAAGUUUCUUACCUGGGUUUGAAGUGUAAGUGUCCAUUUUUUGGUUCAUCCGUGUGGGGAGAUUCAUUUUUUUAGCGUCAUUUGGGACAAAGUUAUUAAGAUUUGGUUUCUUCUGUUUCAGUUGUUUCUGGAUUUGGUGAAAGCUUGAUUUGCAACUGGGUUGUAGAGGAAUCAUGGUUGAGGAUGCAGGAAAUGGAAUGGAUGCCAGCAUUGAUAUGUUUUCGGCUGAGGAGUGGCUAUCUCGCGCACAAGAGCUUGUUCCUGUUGCACUGAAGAAGGCUAGGGAGGUCAAGGUAUUCCCUGGUAGGUGGAAGAUGAUAGUCUCAAAAUUGGAGCAGAUCCCAGCAACACUAUCUGAUUUGUCUAGUCAUCCUUGCUUCUCGAAAAAUGCUCUUUGUAAGGAGCAGUUGCAGGCAGUAUCAAAGACCUUAUAUGAAGCAAAUGAACUAUCAGAGUUGUGUAUACAUGAGAAAUAUGAAGGGAAACUUCGGAUGCAAAGUGAUCUUGAUGCACUAUCAGGCAAAUUGGAUUUGAAUUUGCGUGAUUGUGGUCUCUUGAUCAAAACUGGUGUGCUUGGUGAGGUGACCUUGCCAUCUACUGCUGGUAGCACUUCGGCUGAGCCUGAGGCUGCACUGCAUGGAAAUAUGCGAGAAUUGCUGGCGCGGCUUCAGAUUGGGCACUUGGAGGCUAAACAUAGAGCUCUUGAUAGCCUUGUUGAGGUUAUGAAAGAAGAUGAAAAGAAUGUCUUGGCUGUUUUAGGUCGCAGCAACAUUGCUGCUUUAGUCCAACUUCUAACUGCCACAUCUCCUCGAAUAAGGGAGAAAACUGUCACUGUAAUAUGCUCUCUUGCAGAAUCUGGUAGUUGUGAGAAUUGGCUAGUUUCUGAAGGUGUUCUUCCACCUCUUAUAAGACUUGUUGAAUCUGGCAGUCCAGUCGGUAAAGAGAAGGCCACAAUUUCUCUCCAGAGGUUGUCGAUGUCAGCAGAAACAGCCCGUUCUAUUGUUGGACAUGGUGGUGUUAGACCUCUUAUUGAGAUCUGUCGAACUGGUGAUUCUGUUUCACAGGCUGCUUCUGCUUGUACAUUGAAAAACAUAUCUUCUGUUCCAGAGGUGCGGCAAACAGUAGCUGAAGAAGGCAUUGUAAAAGUAAUGAUUAAUCUUCUGGAUUGUGGAAUUCUAUUGGGAUCCAAAGAGUAUGCAGCUGAAUGUUUACAAAAUCUUACCUCCAGCAAUGAUAGUCUACGGAAGUCUGUUAUUUUGGAGGGUGGAAUCAGAAGCUUGUUGGCUUAUUUGGAUGGUCCACUGCCACAAGAAUCUGCCGUUGGAGCACUUAGGAAUUUGGUCUGCUCAGUCUCCAUGGAGAUUUUAGUUUCACUUGGUGUCAUUCCAAGGUUGGUUCAUGUGCUUAAAUCUGGAUCACUUGGUGCUCAGCAGGCUGCAGCAUCUGCAAUCUGUAGGAUCUGUAGCUCCACAGAAAUAAAAAGACUAGUUGGUGAGGCUGGUUGCAUCCCUCUGCUUGUUAAGAUGCUCGAAGCUAAAGCAAAUGGGGUGAGGGAAGUAGCCGCGCAAGCAAUUUCUAGCCUAAUGACCUUGUCGCACAAUUGCAGAGAAGUCAAGAAGGAUGACAAAAGUGUGCCUAAUUUAGUGCAAUUACUUGACCCAAGCCCUCAAAAUACUGCCAAGAAAUAUGCAGUUUCUUCUCUUGCCUUGCUCUCCUCGAGCAAAAAAUGUAAGAAGCUUAUGAUUUCAUAUGGGGCAAUUGGAUAUCUCAAGAAGCUUACAGAGAUGGACAUCCCGGGAGCUAAGAAGCUACUUGAGCGUUUGGAAAGAGGGAAAUUGAAGAGUUUGUUCAUCAGAAAAUAGAGGAGAAUUGAACGUCCAUGUAUAAGAAACUCAUCUUUCAUCUUGUUUCAUAAUCUGUAUGAAACAAAAUAGUAGUUUUAUUCGUAUGGAGUAAAAUCAACUAGCUGCAAAUUAAUGCAAUUGUUGUCUCAUUAUGUAUCGGUAAUAAUUCUAUCAUUUGUACAGAUAGUUGUUCCAUAAAUGGCUUUUUGUGUGGUACUUGAAAGUCCUUGCUGGGCUUCAUCUUCAUUGAUGGUGCUCUUUUGGCUUCAUCUUCAUCUUAUAGCAAUCGGGUAGCCUCCUUGGCAUUCCUUUUUAAUGGGAGAAAAAAAUCUUAUUCAGUCUUUCUAUUUAGCAGAUGGAAAUGAUUGCUUGAUUCCCUAACAUUUCUCCGGCAGAUUCUGUUCAACUUUUUCAGUCUCUGCUGUAAAUUCUCCUUUCCUGAACUUUUCAGUUACCUGAUGCUGCUACCAUCCAAUACAUACGCUACUUAAAAUAUAUGUACAAGAACAUUGCAGGUAUUAGACAAAUACAUGUAUUAUUUCUGGCAUAAAUAUGCUCGCUAUCUUGACAUCUCAACAUAGCUUAAAUAAGGUCUCUCAUGUUUCCGGUUGAGAUUUCCCCAUGAGUUCAUGCAGUGUCCAAGUCUAUCAUAGCUGGAGAACCUUGUAAUGGAUAAGGAGAUAUAUUUUCUUGUUAUGCUUUUAGCCACAUUAACUAGCCAUAAGGCAAGUGUUCCUGUAUCAUGUUUGAUCCAUGGAGAGAUCUAAAGGUCAGAUUGAUUCUUAAUGUCAGCUUCGCUAGUUUCCACUUUUACAAGAACAGACUUGAGACACCAGAUAGAAACCAGCUAUUACUCCCUGUACACCAUGGUUUCUUCAACGAAUUAUGACGAGAGUUGUUCGUGGGAUUACAACACAGGUUCCAAGCCAGAACCAAAACAGCAUACUCGGAUCUUUUCCAGUCACACGGUCAGUCAAACAUCAUAAUUUCUCUCCUACCAUCCACUCAAGUAUCUGCCUUUACUGCAUUUCAAUAGAUAUUUAGUUGAUGAAUUUGUUGAAGAAUCUUCUCUCAGCCUUAAAGAAACUCUGCUGUACAUCAAUACUGCAAAGUCUUUUCCCCUUACUACAACAAUGUUUUGUUAGCAGGUAUAAUCUUCAUCAGGCCGAAUGGUUCGACUGUCGCAAAAAACAUCAUUGAUUCUGCAUUUAUCACUGCCUGGUCUGUAGCUAGGGUGAGAGAAUGGUUCAGUUACAGGUGGUGGUGUUCAGUGUCAUGAUAUGGAUCAAUACACAGAGGGCUAAGGUACUAGUCUUCAGUGAUCAAUAUUUGAUCAGUGAUAUUUCUAAAUGGCCUUCAGCCAAAAUAUUUGCUCAUUAAGUCUUUGUAGGUAAGAUUCAAAAGUUUGUUGCUGUUAUGAGUUCCAAUCAAAUUUCAAUAAUAGAGAAAGCUACACUGCACCUGACAUCACUGUAAAUAUGGUUUGUUAAGCAGCAGUAUCAGCACUCAGAUACACUUGGUUGAGUGUUUCUAAUCUAACCCCACAAAAUUUUUGGUGUGGCUUUUCUGGUUCCAUCAAACAACUGAUGUCAGAUUUGGCAACAUUGUUUGUGUAGUGAUCUCUUUUUGAGUGAUAUCAUCAAAGGUUAGCAAGUGAUAUAAUAAUUCUUAAUACUUGAGAAAAUGUGGACAACAAAUAAUUCUUAAGUUUUAUCUUUUGCCACAUCUAGGGGAGAAAUGGACUCCACCACCAUUUCUCAUUAGAUUUCUUAUAUUCAGGUCCUGUUAAUUCCAGUGUUUCUUGUAUCAGUUGUCUGCGAAGCUUUUGAGCUAGCAAAUUGAGCUGAUAAUUUCUACAAAGCAAAGGCAUAAUUACUACCUGCUAUAUCAUACAUAAAACUGACUUUUCCUCAAAUGUGUUUUGAUAAUCAUUUGUCACUGGAUCCAAAUCGUACAGGAUUAAAGCGACUCUUCCUCAGAAACAAAGGGGUUUAUAACAUAAAAGAAUUUAGAGUUGAUGAUAUGAAAGGAUUUAGACAAGAAUAUAGGCAUGAAAAUGACAAUUGAGACCAAAAGCAAAUGACAGUCAAUUUCUCCUGUUCCUGUUCAAGAAUUACAAAUCUUUUGGCAAAUGGUAAUUUGUAGUAUCUCCUUAAUGAGAUGAUAAUUGUCAAAAUGAGAAAGCAUCAAGGCACUGCAGCUUGGAGAUCAAAUGUCUUGAGCCUCUUAGGAAUUUUUCUUUUUAAUAAGUCAGAGAAUGUUGGGAUUUAAAAACUUGCUACGGGAGAAGGGGAGCAGGAAGAAUUGAACGCCUUUAAUUUUUGAGGCGUUAGCCUUAAUCAUUAGACUAAAGCCUUCUCACUCUUGUCAAGUUACUCGUAUGUUCCAAAACAAAGAUAAAUUUUUAUAAAUGGUUUACCUUUGAAACAUUCAUGUAAAGGAAAUUUAAACGUAAAAAGUAAUUUUCUUUUUGGAGUCUUGGUAUAAUAAUUUUACUGUUUAUAGUAAGUGCGUUAGACUACCUUUUUUUAAGUUUCAAUUCCAAAAUUAAUUACCUAAUAGUCAUUGGAAAUAAACUACCUCUAAAAAUGUUAAGAUUACAUGUGUAGUAAAAAAAAAAAAAAAAAAAAAAAACGGUAUUCCUGCGUCAAUAUUUUAAUUUGUUCAACUAAGUUAGGGAAAAAAAAUGAAAAAACUCUCUCUUCCAAAUUAUGACACGCUGGGGUGGCUUGAGAAGUUUAAUAGUGGAUUAUUUUAUUUCUGGAUCGGAUUAUUUUUCAUUUUUUUUUCUUUUUCUUUUGUUGAUAAAGAUAGGAAAGUAGUUGGAAAUUUUAGAAAGACGAUGGGCUGGACUGAAAUAACUGUUAGUCGUUUGCAACCAUGGGCUCAUAUUGGCACAUUACUUGGAUAAGUGCUGGAGGGUUUGACGACGAGUUUGGGUCGGGUCGAGGACAGGAAGCAGGCCGAAAAAGCUGAUUUUGUCGCGGAUAAGUCAAACAAGGCCGUCCGUCAACGCAUCAAUGUCCUUGAGAUCCGUGGAAUCUGCUGAUUGGAUCUAAAUAAUUGUGGAUUAGGCCACAAACAAUGAUUUUUUUUUUUAAAAAUAGGCAUUAACAAAUGAUAAAUAGCAUCAUUGCCAUAUCCCAAGUAUCAUGGAUUUCCUCACCUUUAAUGUGAUUAUCUGACUUGGGGCUAAUUUCUUAUUAGAGAAAAUUUGAAUGAAAUUAUGUAGCCAUAAACUUUUAGCACUAGAAAGCACUUCUUUAACACCUUUUUUUUUUAAAGCCAAAGUUUAAGUAUUGUUUGGAUGAGUAUUAUCUGAAAUAUUAUUUGAAAUAAUUACUGUAACACUUUUUAUGAUGUGAUGUAUAUGAGAUAAAAAGGUAAUUAAAAUAUAAAAAAAUGGAUUGAAAAAUGUGUUUACAAUGCAAGCGAAAUAUUAUUUGAAAAAAUAAAAUAUCCAAACAAAGUUAAAUUCUUAAUCUGCAUUACUCUUUGGCCUAUGUAGAAAUUUUUUAACAAGGUCCAGCCAAUCCAUCUGUAGAUAUAAUAGAUAUUUUUGCAUAGCCAUUAUUGGGCCAAAAAUUUUUUACAUGUAUCAUAAAUAUAAUUUUUAACACGCUUUUUUUUAUCUUACAUGCAUCACAUCAAAUUAUAAAAAAUAUUAUAAUAAUUAUUUCAAAUAAUCUGUUGGAGGAGAGUGCACGAACAAUCUCUGAUCUUCAAAAAAUAACCACCUUGGAAUUGACAGUUACUCAAAAGUUCGGUAGGGCUGAGGCGCGUAGAACGCUCUCUUUAAGACGAUACGCGUCCCUACGGUACUUUUCAAACCGAUGCAGAAGGUCUAGCGCGUCGCCUCCAGAAUACAACAGUCCAACUCUAUAGUUGUUACUUCCCUUUGAUCUGCACAACCAAGAGAAGCAGAAGCUUCCCAAUAUCUUUCUUUGCCCAAAGAAAACAGAAUGAAGGAGAAAGAAAUGAGUGUGAAGAGGAUAGUAUUUUAGAAUGGUCUUUUGUUGAAAGAAGUGUGUGUGUAUCAAAUUCUUUGGAGAAUUCUACUAUUUAUAGGCUACAAGGCCUUAAGUAAAAGAAAAUCCAAUGUGUAACGGUUUUUUCCAUAUUAAAUUGUAGUUAAUUGGUAGAACUUAUAACCUAAAGAGUUAAAUUCACAUUUGAAUGGGUUAUAAAAGACUUAUUCAAAUAAUUCUUUUGUAACUCCUACAAUAAUUCUUUUGUAACUCCCACAAUAAUACAUUUGACCAAAUAAUUCUUUUGUAACUCUUGUUCAAAUAUGUAACUCACAAUUAUAACUCCAUUCAAAUGCAAUGUAACUCCCACAAUUAUAAUUCCCAUAACUCACCAAUAAAUUCUAUUGUAACUCCUUGUAAAGAUUUGGCCAAAAACUAAUUAAUAUUUUAUUAAAAUACACCAACAUUCCCUCACUUAUUUUAACAAAAUCUGAAAGAGAUAAAAGCAAAUUUGGACAAAGUGAGAAUAUCAUGCAUAGUGAAAGUGGCAUUGCCUUGAAACCUUCACUUAGUGUUUCCAUAAUCCUCAUAUUAGAGUCAAAGUGGACUAAAGCCUUGAAACUAAGACUACUUUAAGAUAUGUAAGAUUAUGUCACACACAUGACAUUCAAGAUAUUAAUUAAUAUGUUUCUUAGGCCAGCACAUUUCGGCCUUGUGCUUUAUCCCAGAUUCAUGAAUGCUUUAGAAAAUUAGCCAAAUUCUCAUAGGAAACGGUUUUUACUUCCACACUCGUAUAGGUGAGUCUAUCAAGAAUGCCCCCAUGACUAAGGCAUGCCACCCAUAAAGGGCUAUAGAACUCAUUAUAAGAUUUAUAUCAAAUCUUAACCUUUUCUUUGUCAUAGAAUCACGAGUAUGCUUUACACUAUGGGAAGGGAUUUAAUAUAUAUGCAUGCUUUUCACCCAAACCAUUCUAUGAUUCGUUUAUCCCUGACUUAAUUCUUGGGAUCUCCAAUCCCUAGGUAGUUGUAUCCUUAUAGAUGAUUCCAAUUUAAAAUUUUUUUAGGCUCAAGUCCCAUUCCCUUUGAUGUUUGAAAAAUUUGUUCUCUAGCUAGAGCUUUCGUUAAUGGAUUAGCGAGAUUUUCUUUUGAUCUCACAUGGUCUAUAUUUAUAGCACCAUCACAUAAAUAUGAUCUCACAGUACUGUGUUUUCUUCUAACAACUCUGGAUUUUUCAUUAUAAUAUUUGUUAUGUACUCUACCAAUUGCAGCAGUACUAUCACAAUGUAAAAGUAUAGAUGGUACUGGUUUAUCCCAAACGGGAAUUUCAAAUAAUAAAUCUCUUAAUCAACUGGCCUUUUCACCGGCAUAAGCUAAAGCUAUAAGUUCUACUUAUAUAGUAGAUUUAGCAAUAAUGUGUUGUUUUUUAGAUCUCCAACACACAUCUAUACCACCCAAAAUAAAAAUAUAGCCAGUGGUAGAUAAUGAGUCACCAGAUUGAGAAUUCCAAUCUGCAUCACUAAACCCUUCUAGGACGGCAGGGUAAUUUUUAUAAAGUAAACCAUAAUUUAUAGUACCUUUAAGAUAUUUCAUGACACUAGUAAUAGCAUUCCAAUGAUCAUAACUAGAUUUACUUGUAAAUCUACUCAAAAUAUUUACAGCAUAAGCAAUAUUUGGUCGAGUACAAUCAGUGGCAUAUUUCAAAUUUCCAAUUAUGCUUGCAUAUUCAUGCUUAUUUAACACAAUUGCAUCAUUCUCAGUUGGAUAUAAAUGCACACUAGAAUCAAAAGGAGAGGAAACUGGUUUACAAUCAUAAUACUUAUAUUUUUUAAGUAUUUUUUCAAUAUAAUGUGCUUGAUCUAACAUAAUUCCUCUAGGGUUCUAGUAAUUUUCAUUCUAAGUAUUACAUUGAUUUCAUCCAAAUCUUUCAUAUCAAAAUUAUUUUUUAGUAACCCCUUGGUAUUUUCAAUAAUAUUCAAAUUAGUCGCAAAAAUUAAAAGGUCAUCAACAUACAAGUAUAGGAUAACAUGAGUAUCUGCAGUAGAUUUAUAGUAAAUACAUUUAUCACUUUCAUUUAUUUUAAAAUUAUUUGGUAUCAUGCUCCUAUCAAAUUUUUCGUGCCACUGCUUAGGAACUUGUUUCAAACCAUAUAAAGAUUUUGUUAACUUACACACUUUGUUUUCAUGACCAGGUUGUACAAAACCUUGUGGUUGAUCCAUAUAUAUUUUUUCUUCUAAAUCUCUAUUAAAAAAAACUGUUUUUACAUCCAUUUGAUGAAUUUUAAUAUUAUGAAUGGCAGCAAUAGCUAUAAGCAAUCUUAUUAAUGUAACUCUUGUUACUGGUGAAUACGUAUAAAAAAAGUCUACAUUUUCUUUUUGUUUAAAGCCUUUAGCUACAAGUCUUGCUUUAUAUUUAUCUAUUGUACCAUCUGGUUUUAGUUUUCCCUAAGUACCCAUUUGCAUCCAAUAGUUUUACAACCAAUAGGCAAAUCAACUAACUUCCAAGUUUUAUUUGACAAUAAAGAUUUCAUCUCUUCAUUUAUAGCUUCUUUCCAAAAAUAGAAUCAGGUGAGUUUAAGGCUUCUUCUAUAGUUUUUGGAUCACCAUCUACAGAGUAAACUAAAUAAUCUGGUCCAAAGUCAUUUUCUACUCUAACUCUUUUACUUCUUCUCAAAUUUUCAUUAGUUCCAAAAUUUUUUAAAUGUGUAGAGCUAGUUUCAUUUAUUAUUUUUUCCUUUUCACCCCCACUAUUUCUUAAUUUAAAUGAAAAUUUAUCUUCAUGAAAAAUUGCAUCAAGUGAUUCUAUUAUAAUGUUACUUUCUAUGUCAUAAAAUCUAUAAGCUUUACUAGUUAAGGCAUAUCCAACAAAUGCACACUUUUUAGCUCUAACUCCUAAUUUAGGAAUUUUUGGAUCGGCUAAUCUAACAUAUGUCAAACAACCCCACACACAAAAUAGUUUAAAUUUGGUUUCCUUUUAUUCCAUAACUCAUAAGGUGUUAAAAGAUUUUGUUUUCUAGGCACUCGAUUGAUUAUGUAAUUAGCUGUCAAAAUUGCUUCUCCCCAAAAAUUCUUUGGUGCACUUGCAUUCACCAUUAUUGCAUUUGUUAAAUUUAUCAAAAUUCUAUUUUUACGUUCUGCUACACCAUUAGAUGCAGGUGAAUAAGGCGGAGUAGUUUCACGAACAAUUCUUAAAGAUUUAAUGUAAUCAAUUAGUCCCAAAGUUUCAUAAUCUUUUCCUCUAUCACUUCUAAACUUUUUAAUUUUCUUGUCAAAACGAUUUUCAAUUUCUUGUACAUAUGUUACAAGUUUUUCAUGUGUUUCACUUUUAUGUUUCAUAAAAUAUACAUAAGUAUAUCUAGAAAAAUCAUCUAUAAAAGUUAUAAAAUAUCUUUUACCACUACGUGUAAGAGUGCCUUCAAAUUCACAAAUAUCAAUAUGUAUUAAUUCAAGUAAAUCACUACUCCUUUCUACUUUUACAUGUGGCUGUUUUGUGAUUUUUGUCAAGCUAGAAUACUUACAUUUUUCAAAAUCAUUUUGAAGCUUAGGUAACAAUCCAAUAUAACUCAUAUUCUUUAAAUAUUUAGAAUUAACAUGACAAAGUCGAGCAUGCCAUAAAUUUGUACUAGAAGCAAUAUAAACAGAACUAAGAGAUAUUUUAUUCAUUUCAACAUUCAAUUUGAACAUACCAUCAUAUGCAUAACCUUUUCCAACAAAUGCAUUAUUUUUUGUAAUCACAUAUUGAUUAGAAUCUAUAGUUUGCUUGAAUCCAGCUUUGUUGAGAAGAUAGAUUGAAACCAAGUUCUUUCUGAUUUGAGGAGUAUGAAGAAUAUCUUUCAAAGUUAAAGUACGGCCAGAGGUAAAUUUUAGAUCCACAUCACCAACACCUACCACCUUAGUAUUAUAUGACUCACCAAGUAGGACCAUUUUACCUUCUUCAGCAUGAGUGUAGCUUUUGAACCAAUCUUUAUCAUGGCAAAUGUGCCUAGAAGCACCUGAAUCUGCCCACCACCCUUCAUGAUUCUCUAGCAUGUUCACCUCAGUUAUCAUAGCCACUAAAGGCUCUUCAGCUACAUGAGCUUGAGGUUUAUCACCAUACUUUUUAGGUUGUCCACGUUUUCUAAAAUAACAAUCCUUGGCUUGGUGGCCAGGUUUUUCACAUACAAAACAUGGACCCCUAAGAGUUUUAUUAUUAGUAGAAGGGGUUUCUUGGUUCUUUCUAGGUCCUUUAUAUUGAUAUUGUGGUCUAUUCUUAUUUUUCAUAUUUUUUCCUCUAGGUCUCAAGUAUGCAUUAUUCUUAGAAUUCUGACCUCUAGAGACAUUAUCAGUUGAAGUAAUAAAAUGUACCUUAUUAGUGUCACCAUUGCCAUUUGUCUCCUCAGACUUAUCUUGCUUCCUUGCCUCCUCUUCAAUUCUAAGUCAAGCCAUGAGAUUGACUAGAGUGAUCUCCGACUGCUUGUGGCGUAGUCCCUUUUGAAUAUCCUUCCAAGAGUUUGGUAAUUUGUCAAUUAUAGCGGCCACUUAUAUUUGUUCAUCCACCUUGAUGCCUUCAGAUUGAAUUUCAUGAACUAUAUUUUGUAGUUCAUGUAUUUGAACAAGGACAGAUUUGUUUUCUGUCAUUUGAUACUUGAAGUAGCGGCUACAAGCGUAUUUCUUGGCUCCAGCUUCUUCAGUAUCAUAUUUCUUUUGCAAAGCCUUCCAAAUCUUUUUAACUGUGGAAUAAGAAGUGGAAUAGUAAUCAUAAAACUCAUCGGAUAAGCAAUUAAGAAGAUAGUUUUUACAACCUUCUUCAUCACUUCUCCAUUUUUGAACACUUUGUUCGUACUCUUGCUUCUGUUGCUCAUCCAUGUCAUCAACACGGAUUUUGGUUGGAUUUUUGGCCGUAAGUACCCAAGCUACCUUCAUGAGUUUUAGGUAGAAAAGUACUUUUUUAGCCAUCUUUGGAAAUGUUCGCCAUUGAACUUGAAAUGCUUGUUGAGAUCUGUAGAACUUCCGACGGAUGUAGGGAUAGUAGAGUUAGUGUUGCUCUCCAUUUGAGUGCCGUCUUAAAAUUGUUGGAGGAGAGUACACGAACAAUCUUUGAUCUUCAAAAAAUAACCACAUUGGAAUUGACAACUACUAAAAAGUUCGGUAGGGCUGAGGCGUGUAGAACGCUCUUUUUAAGACACUACGCGCUCCUACGGUACUUUUCAAACCGAUGCAGAAGGUCUAGCGCGCUGCCUUCAAGAUACAACAACCCAACUCUAUAGUUGUUACUUCCAUUUGAUCUGCACAACCAAGAGAAGCAGAAGCUUCCCAAUAUCUUUCUUUGCCCAAAGAAAACAGAAUGAAGGAGAAAGAAAUGAGUGUGAAGAAGAUAGUAUUUUAGAAUGGUAUUUUGUUGAGAGAAGUGUGUGUGUAUCAAACUCUUUGGAGAAUUCCACUAUUUAUAGGCUACAAGACCUUAAGUAAAAGAAAAUCCAAUGUGUAACGGUUUUUUCCAUAUUAAAUUGUAGUUAAUUGGUAGAAUUAGUAACCCAAAGAGUUAAUUCACAUUUGAAUGGGUUAUAAAGACUUAUUCAAAUAAUUCUUUUGUAACUCCCACAAUAAUUCUUUUGUAACUCUUAUUCAAAUAAGUAAUUCACAAUUAUAACUCCAUUCAAACUGCAAUGUAACUCCCACAAUUAUAAUUCCCAUAACUCACCAAUAAAUUCUAUUGUAACUCCUUGUAAAGAUUUGACCAAAAACUAAUUAAGAUUUUAUUAAAAUACACAACAUAAUCUCCUAUCCAAACACUCCCAUUAGGGAACUUCACCUGGGAAAGCUAAAAGAAUAAAGAUGAUUUUUGAGACAUCGGGCUAGACGAUGAAGAUUUUCAUUUUCCUCUUCGAGGGUAGGACAACACAAAAGUUGACUUGGUUCAUUGUCAAUUUUUUUCCCUUUUCGAUCCCAAGAUUGGUUCAAAACUUUGCACUUGGCGUACAUGCUUAUCUUUUUUUAUCCGCGUUAAGUUUUAAGACGAACAAAGACAAAACAAUUGUAUAUGGAACAGAAGACUUCAAAACCGCAAAGUUACUGUGUUUUACUAUGUGCAACAUAUAAAAUGGAAAAUUACACUUAAUUCCCCUGUAUUUAUACGCUUGACUCACUUUGCUGUCUAUAUUUUGUUCAUAAAGACAACUGCCAUUUCUUUAAUUUGUAAAAAUUUAGAUGAAUAUGCCCAUGCCAUUAUAUACUUUUUGCAGUAGCUAACCUUUUUCUGUUUUUACUUCUUCAUUUUUUAUGCUAUGAAAUACUAGCAUGUUUUUCUCCUUUGCAUAGAAGGAAUAAAUUUUUUUUAUGUACUUAAUCUUCUUGUCUUUUUUUAUUUAAUAUUUUUUUUUAUGAUGAGCAAUGGAUUGAUCAUUAGCUGUGCACAUUAUUGUGCCUUCAAAAUUUAAGCAACAUAAUGUCAUAUAAAAAUUAAGUGAUUAAUUAAAAAGAAUUCUUGUAUUGCAAUAGGUUAUCAAUUAUUAUCUUUUAACCAAAUUCUUUAAUUUAUUUUCUUAUUAUUUAAAACAUUUUUCAACUAGAAUAGUUAUUAACAGAAAAAAAAAUGUUACAAUCAAUUAUGUAUUUUAAUUUAUCAAGGUUUUGAAAAGGUUUGAAAUAUAAUAAAUGUGAACAAGGGUUGAAGUAUAAUAAUCCAAGUUUAAGAAGUGUUGAAGUGGAAUAAACAAAAUUACAGGGGAAAGUAAGAUAACAUAUAAAUGUGGGGGAUUAUAUGUUAUUUACCCAAAAUUAAUCUACCGUGUAAAAAAAGUGGGCCCACGAAACAAAGUCCAUGAGUUGGAUUGCGACUGAAGCCCAAUCCAAUAAGCCGCCACCUUUCCGUUCCAGCACAGGCCACACCACAUCCCUGCAUGCAUUACAUUGUUUUAGAGUAAAUCUUAUAAUGAUUAUAGUAUAUACACUUUAUAUUUGGAUUGUUGAAUGCAUAAAUAUAUAUAUAUAUAUAUAAUUUAACUUUCAAAUUCAAAUUGUAUGUCAUACAUCAAAUGAUAACAAUAUAUAUACAAUCAGUAUGAAGAUUAAUUCUUUUAAUUACUCUUUUUUUUGUUUAAUUUUUCACCUCUUUCAACUUUUCUCAUCUCCAAUUGCUUCGAACUCUGAAUUUAACAGCUUUUAGAGGAGUCAACCUUUGUGGUUCCAUGCACUUAUUAAACUACUAUUAGCAUUAUCCUUUUCAUUUUCUUACCAUUUAGUACAAUGUAUCUGAUCAAAAAUAAGUUAAAGAAAGGUAUUUAGUAUCAAUGUACCAAAUGAACGUGGGAUGUUUUACAAGAAUGUCCUAAGAGUAACAUAUCAAUAUAUCAUCGACAAUUUUUAAUUUUUCCUUUCAUAUCUCUUUUUGUGGAUGAUAAAAAAUUUAGAAAUUUACGAGAGACGAUUUAAUCACUGGACAAUUAUCAAUUUUCUCUUUCAUGUCUCUUUUUUGGAUGAUAAAAAAUUUAGGAAAGAUGAUUUAAUCACUGUAAGGUCAUGGUAAAUUGUUUACCACUAAUAGAGUCACAUUAAUUAAUGACAUUGUUUGAUCUAUCUGGUAAACACAUGAUCUGAACCCUGAAUCUGAGAGCUCCUAACACAGGGACUGUAUGUUUGCCAAUUGAACCACAAGAAGUUGGCCUUAUCUAAUUUUUUUUGAUAAAUAUUAAAUAUGAGAAGAUAAUAAUAGGGAAAUGAUGAGAGGGAAAAAUAUGGACAACUAUUUUUUUUGGGGUCAAAUUACUUAAAUUCCAUUUUGUUUUCUUCAGUUUUUGGUAGUAAGAUUUUUUGGGUCACACAAAUCCUCUUCCCUAUCUAUCAUCGAGGCUGAUUCACCCAAGGGAAAAAGAGCCUCACUUUUGUCAUUAGGACAUAUUACAGCGGAAGGAGGAAAAAUUGUGAUUCUCAAGACAAGAAGACUUGGGCACAUUUCCCGGUAAUUGUAACACGACUAGUACUAUUAAUAAUCCUCUCCUACCUCUUCAUGCUCUGUCCUUUGCACACACGCACGCGGUAGCUUAUCUGUGAAAUUGGUGAAGGGCUUGUAUUUUUUGGCCUGACUAUAAUUUUGGUACCUGCUUCAGGUAAAUCGGAAAAGUUUGAAUUUUUUCUAUGUGAAUAGCAUCUGUUUUGAUUUUUGGGGAACGGGUCGACUUCGUUUUCUUGUCAUCAGUUGAGAAUUCGUGGACGCUUUGAUGGGUUUUUGUUCGAUUAUGAUUUCUUUUUUUAAAUAAAUUAUUUUGUUGGAUUUGUUGGAAUUUUGCUUUUUAUUUGUUUUCUUGGUGCUUAUGAAUACUGUCUUAAUUUUUGGGGUGGAGGGUUGUUGGAAGAUGAAUUGAAGGAGAAAGAAUUUGUGCUAACAGCAAAGUUGGUUUGGGGUCUUGAAGUCAACUUAACUGAAGUUAAAGGGUGAUUGAGCUAAGUGAAGGAUUUAUCUUUGUUUGAAUUUAUUAAGGUAGAUGGUGAUUUCCUUUUCUGAGAUUCAUUAGCGUAUACAAUAGCAUGUUUGCUGCUAUUGUUUAUUUAUUGGAUGUCUUUUGAUGUGGUAUGAGAAAAGAUUUGUUGCAUCUUUCUUGCCUGAUAGAUUUUUAUCAUUAGCCUGAGUUGAUAAAAAUCUACGUCUCAUCAUGUGUGUCUACAAAUAUAGGACAUGGUAGACGAAUAUCAUAGUUGUAGUUCACCUAGAUUCUAGGGCAUUUGAGCUUCUGUUAGGUUUCUAGUUAGUCAAACAUACUUGUGAUAUUGCUUACUAAAGAGACAGACUUCUCUUAUGUUGUUUGUUAUUUUGGCUUGACUGUACUCUGGACAAAGUUCAAUCUUGGUGCUUUUAGUUGAAUUACUUCAUGAAAAACCAUUGCUUUUGCACAUUAAUUGUAUCUAUAUGAUCUUCAGAAGGUGCAAGAAAUUCCAAAGAUGGUUCACAAACAUCCCUGUGUAAUUUAGUCUUUGAGAGAGUAUAAACUGACCAUUUCUGAAGUCAUAGAAAGUAUUCCUGAAUUGUCCCCUUGGCUUCCUGAUAGAAGUUUCUUGGUCCACCUUUGGCUGUUAAUAGUCAGAUAUAAAAUUUUGUCUUCAUCUUUCGAGUAGUUAUUUUUGUGUACUUUGCUGUUGGGGAAAAUUAUGGGCUUGCAAGAUAGGUUCUUGAUCGUUUAAAACCUACAUGGUUGACAAGUCAUGUUGGCUGCUGUUAAAAUGGAAGAUAGAAAUGUAGGGAGAUGACAAAGGAUGUAGACUGUCGAAUAUCAUGUAUCUUGAUAUGAGUCUUGCAAAGGAAUACUAAAAUGUGCAACGUUGCCCUUACUAAUUGGUAUAUUGUUGUCAUGAUUUUAGCAUUGAGCAGUGUUGAAUUUUCAGUUUUGUCUUACAUUGCUAUUAGUUAUUGGUUUUAGGAUCCUCAUUGAUGCAUCUCUUUCUUGGAUUUCCAGUAAAUUCCAACAAGUAUGAGCACAUUAGAUGUAGGCAGAGCUGAACUUGCUCUUGCAGUGUUAUAUUUGAACAAAUCAGAAGCCAGGGACAAAAUAUGCAGGGCAAUUCAAUAUGGUUCAAAAUUCUUGAGUAAUGGAGAGCCUGGCACUGCCCAGAAUGUUGACAAAUCAACCAGCUUGGCUCGGAAAGUUUUCCGUCUAUAUAAGGUCAAGAUGGAUUAUAAAUAUCUCUUAUGGCUUAUAAAUAUGUGCUUUACGCUGUGACCUGUUUCUUAUUCCAUUGCUUUUAUUCAGCCUUGUUGUGAACUUCUUAUAAUUUUGUUUUGUACGCUCCUAUUAUGUUUCAAUGAUGGUAAUAGUGGACAUAUUUGUGUUCUUUUGCAUUUCUUGACAUUUUUCUGUUCUGUAUUUUACAGUUUAUCAAUGAUUUGCAUGGUCUUAUUAGCCCAAAUGCUCCAGGCACUCCACUUUCACUCAUUUUGUUGGGAAAGGUAUGAAGUUCACUUCUCAAUCAUGGUUUCAUGAAAAUUUGCAUUUCAUCACAGUUGUUUUUUUUGUGUGUGUGUGUGUUUUUUUUUGUUUAAAUCUUUUUGAUACUGUAUUUUGCAGUCUAAAAAUGCAUUGUUGUCAACGUUCUUAUUCCUUGAUCAAAUCGUAUGGCUUGGUAGGACAGGCAUCUAUAAGGUAUGGAAUGAACAUUAUGUAUAUGGUCUUUAAUAUUCAAGUGUGACAUGAAAUUUCACUGGAAAUAUCUAAUGUAACUUAAAUUCUUUUUAAAUAAGAACAAAGAGCGUACUGAGCUGAUUGGCAGGAUCUCUCUCUUCUGUUGGAUGGGCUCUUCAAUCUGUACCACCUUGGUUGAGGUCUGUUGAUUCUGUUGCAUUCAUAUUUUGUUAAUUAUUAUUUCUCCCAUUAUUCUGCUUUUCAGCUAACAGUUGAUAGUUGCUAUACAUGUUUUGGUGUUCUGCAAGUUCAGCUAGGGGAGCUCGGGAGGCUUUCAGCAUCAAUGAAAAAAUUGGAGAAGGAACUUAAGAAUACCGAUAAAUAUAAGGUUCAUCUUUUCUGGAAGCAUCUGCUUGGAUGUCUUACCUUAACUUUUUCUUGGGAACCAAUUUCCUAUUAUUUUGUUUGGCCCGUUUGUUUUGCAGAAUGAGCAAUACCGUGUCAAACUACAGAAGUCAAAUGAAAGGUCUCUGGCCUUGAUUAAAGCAGGAAUGGACAUAGUUGUUGCAGUUGGAUUGCUUCAACUUGCACCGAAGAAAGUUACUCCCCGUGUAACAGGAGCCUUUGGCUUUGUUACCUCUCUGAUUUCUUGUUAUCAGGUACUUGAUGUUUAUCAGUUCUCAUUAAUAUAUGUGCGUUGAUUGCCUUUGAAUUUCCUAGCAUGAAAGAGUAACGCAUGCCAAUGGAAACUUAAUUGUCCCAAUUGUGAUGAGUAGCCAAGUUCAAUUGAAACUAAGAAGGUAUUCUUAGAAUGCUUCUACAUAAAUCCAGAAAUGGGCUUUUCCAUCCUCUUGCAACUUCCUUUCUCGUGUAAGAGCAUCUUUUGUCUGAACCAAAAUUUAAUUAAUGUUUCAUGUCUUUAGUGUAGUAAAUUCAUUUCUUCCAAAAUAUUUAGAGCAUUUUCAUCCUUUUCAUAUGGUAUGUGCUUUCUUUCUAAGUGUUGGGAGUGUUUAGUAUGAGAUUCUGGCUUUGAAGCAUGCAUGAGGUUUAGCUAUUCAGUUUCCUGAUGUCAUCUGUCUUGUACAUUUGCCAAGUUGUCGAGAUAGUGAGAUAUUCUAUUUCUGUUUUGCAGUUGCUUCCUUCACCGCAGAAGGCCAAGACGCCUUGAAGUUGGACUGAUUGUCAGCCGGUGUCUGUCUCAGUUAAAUAAUUAUUAUUCAUAUCUGAGAGUUAAAAACUUGUGGCUGUAUGAUUGACGUUAGUCUUCCCCUUGGUUAGAAGCUGCACUAUAACCACCUUUCAUUUUGCCAUAUGAAUCUCUAAUAAUGAUGUUUUACAUGAAAAUCACAUUGGCUGUUGCUUUAUUAGAGUAACCUUCCACAUCUAAGUUUUCUGAUUUAUCCUUUUGUGGAACUUGAUCACAAUUCGUGUUAAAACAGUCAAUUCUUCUAAGAACGUUGACACUUCAAUGACACAGUUUACAGAAUCUGUAUUUGAAUGUCUUUGAUAUCUCUUCAUGUCUGGCUGGUUAGAGUAUUGCAACUAGAGUCAUCCCGUGCAGGAGAAUCCUAUUUUCGCCUAGUUCGUGAAAAGAAAUUCUGUUGCCUGCAUCAUACAUGCCUGUGAUGGGAAUUUGUUUGUGGGAUAGAACUGAGUUAUGUUUUUAAUGCAAAGAUGUUAUUGAUCAGGAAAGAUGUAUGCGGGUUACUGGUAAAAGAACAGUCUGCUGUAUUCACUCGUUAUUCAAGUAUGCAAUGGUAUUCUACAAUCAUCUUGCCAUGUACAUCUGACCUGAAGUACGCUUACAUCUUGUUAAUUUGAAGAUUGGAUGUAAACUAAAUGCAUCAAGUUAUUACUUGCAAAAAAUGGGAUGAGUAUGAAAUGGUUAGUUUUUUUUGCUGUAGUCAGCCGAGUAUGAAAUGGUAUCCUACAUUCAUCAUAUUGCCCUGUACAAACCAGCUUGAAUCUGCUGCACUAUUUAGGUGCCAAGGUAAGAUAUGAACUUAAACACAUGAAGCCAAAUAGUGCUAAAACCAAAACAUCAGAUGCGCUCAACUCUGCGGGAAAUAAUAAUUAUGUUACAUUACAGGUAGAGGAAACUAUGAUAAACAUGAGAAGAGUUAAUAACACUCGCUUAUGAUUCAUUGGGACUGUCGUGUUUCAGUUAUUUAAAGAUGCAAAAACAAAACGGGGUAAUAAAUUCAUAAUCUGUAACUUCAUCCUAAGGUAAAAAAUAAUCUCCAAGAAAGCAAAAUUGUCCGCUCCAAGAAGAUUUACUGCUGCUUCUUUCUUGGAUGUACCAGUGCUAGACCACCUAGCCCAAUAACGCCUAAAGAUUGUCCGGGUUGUGUCGCAUCAUUGGUGAGUAGACAGCUAUCCCAGAUCAAAGCAAAGGUGCCGCCAAUUCUAGCGGGUAUGUAUCAGGUAUUCUGAAGCAGUACCUGCAGAGUUGUACAGAAUGUAGUAUCAAACUGCCUACUUCACCCUCUCUGCUUUUCCAAAUGGGAAAUUUGUCAAAUUGGUCCCUAACAUUUACCAAAAACACUUUUUUAGUCCCUGACAUAUAAAAUUAGCCAAAAUGCUCCUUCACAUUUAAAUUGUGAGCCAAUUUGGUCAUAUUGCUCGUUUUUGCUCAUUUCUCCGGCUAAAAAUAGAGGGUAAAGGGUAAUUUGAGAGCCAAAGGUGAAAUGUGUAUUUUGGUGGUGGUCCCUAUCCUUUUACUUUCAACUGGUAAUGAAAUGUGUUUUCGAUUUUGCCCCUAAAAAUAUGACUACGUGAGAGGGGCGUGCUAUUUUUAGCCGGAGAAAUGAGCAAAAACGAGCAAUAGGACCAAAUUGGCUCACAAUUUAAAUGUGAAGGAGCAUUUUGGCUGAUUUUAUAUGUCAGGGACUAAAAUAGUGUUUUUGGUAAAUGUUAGGGACCAAUUUGGCAAAUUUCCCUUUCCAAAUUUAUAAAAAUCUUUAGCAGCACUAUUUACUUGCCUUUCGUGGACAACUAUGUAAUUCGAAUAUCCUCCUUUGGUCACUGUACCAUCAAAAGUUAAGACUGCUCCCUUGGACCACCGAACCUCCAAUCCAUCCUCUGACAUUCCUCACAAUCUCUGCAAGAAUUAACGUAAGUUCCAACUCCAACUUUGAAGCGUUUAACGGGGGAGCCAACCUGUCUUGCGAUCCCAGUGAUCUCAUGUCUGGCCUUGGGAAUGAUUAAUACUGCACCUUGUAAAAGGGGACAAAAUAGAAAAAUUAUCUAAUAAAAAAUGCUAAUCUGUUGCGUGAUCAAUUCCACAGGAUACUGAUACCUGGCAUAUCCUGUUUUGUUCCUGGUCCAGACAACAUCAGCAUAACAAACUCCACAGUACGCGAUAUCCAGUGAAACAUCUUCGCUCCCAAUGGCCCUGUAGAGAGUUUUAAAUCCUGGAGACCAAGAAACCUCGAAGUAAAUGCUAUCACUAGCAAACCAGCCUGGGACGAAAAUUAGAUUGCCGUAGGUGAAAUACAAACUAACAGCAGGUCCUGAUUGCUAGCAGCCUGCAGUUUUUUCCAUGCAAUAUUUCAAACAGAUUAUUCCAGAUGAUAUGAAUUAGACUAGGAAAUCAGAGGAAUUCAUUUACUCCGUUUGAUUUUGAUUUUUCUUGCAAUCAAUCAGUAUUCAUUGAAGAACUAUGUUUAUUCUUGUUUCUGAUUCCCCUUGCAAACCAUUAAGGGGGAAGUGUAUCCAUAAGGAUGAACAAUGGGCUGCACAGGGGUGUAGCUAGAAAAAAUUCUUAGUGGGGGCAAAAACAACACUAAAAUUUUUUAUCUACUCUUUUUCUAUUUUUUUAAGCAAAAAAAAAAUUCACCAACAAGUACAAAUGAUGUAUAUAUUCCAUGAAAAACAUAAAAAGACAAAUUCAAAAUUAUUAAUGUAAUAAUAAUUUUAUUUAAAAAACAAACUAAACUAUUUACAAUUGCUCACUGCGAGUUUUUAUAUUUUGAUAACUGAUUUGGUUGUGGAAGUAAGAAUGGCUCUCGGUUGGGAAAUUGGGAAGUGGGAACAAAGGAUGUGAAUGAUAUGAUUGGAUAAAUUGAUCAAGAGAAAGAGUAACUAGCUGCUUGGUUGUGGAAGGUAGUGGCUCUCGGUUGUGGAGGAAAAAUAGGGGACCAGAGGAGGGAAGGGAAAUUGGGGAGUGGAACCCAAAGAAAGUGAAUGAUAUAUGAUUGGUACCUGCUAGUUAAAAUGAAAAGGCUUUUUUUAGCUUAUUUCAAAUGUAAUUUGUGCCCCACGCAUCUUUUAGAAUUUUAGUUUAUGAACUAACUUAAAAAAUCACGUAAUUCUUUUACAUCUUUUUAAAAAAAAUUCUAAAAGCACAUUUAAAAUUAUAUUAAAAUUAUAAAAUUUUAAGGGGCAGCGAGGCCCGUGCCCCACUUUAAAUCCGCCCCUGGGGCUGCAGAAUGCAGAUGGUACAAAUACAAACCAACUUUUCCUGCAAUCUAAAUGACAACGGCAGUGAAAAAGAAAAAAUACACAAAACUCUACUUUUGGGCCGACAACACAAUUAACUCUAGACGGGAUAGGCAUGCGAAUUCACACUCCACUCGAACUUCUUUUGCAGAAGAGAAAAUUAACGUGGCGAACAAACCUGCGGCUGAAUUUGCAAGGAGACAGGACCCACCCCAGAAGGGUCUCUUGCUGCACAGCCGAGGCAGUCCUCAUGAUCACUUGCAAAUGUCAUUAUUGUUUAUAAACCUUGAAAUGCUAAAGAGACAUGUAAGAAUCAAAAGGAGAAGUCAAGAAAACGAAGUAAGAGGAGCAAUAACAAUUUCCCUACUCAAAAGAGUGAGCGCCAAAGACAAAGAGCGUUGUUUGGUCCUAAUUAGGAAUGCCUUUAAUAGGAGUGAGGACUGAAUCGAAGAAGGAAGAGGGGCUGUCGGAUUCCUGGAAACGUCUAUUAGUUGCUUCAUAAUCUUCGUUCAACUUCACCAGCAGCGUCAUCCGUGACAUCUUCCUUUUUGACCAAGGAUGAGAUGAACCGGAAUAUUACAGUAAAACUAGACCUGAUGUUCCAUAAUGUGUCAGGUCAAUCUCAUCAUUCAUAACAUAUUACAAUAAUCUUGUGGAGCUUUUGUUAAAAAUGGGACCCUUAAAAUUUACAAUGAUCAAAAAACCACGAGUCAAGAUAUUUGCAAAAAAUUACUAUAUAGGGGGUUUGUUAGAUUGUUGAUUAUUUGCAAAAAUUUAUUUGUUUGCAUCACCAUAUAUUUUUUUAUCUCGUAUGCAUCACGUUACAUCAACGAAAAGUUAUAUGUAAGCAACGAAAAGUAGAAUGUUAGACAAUGCCAGAAGAAGAGAAAUACAGUAGUAUGAAAUUGGUUAGAAGUUCUGUCAACGAUUUACAACUCGUGAAAUUGCAGUGGACAAUCAUUGUGCGAAACGAUUGCCACGGAAGAGUAUUCUGCUCUGGCCUGGACCUACGUCAAGACCAUGCUAGAGGAGAUAUAUAGUCCCUACUCCAUAGGAUAUAAUAAUAGGUUUGAACCCUGCAUCUGCUACCAUAUGCAACUUCAGUUUUCAAGCUUAAC